GUCUCUGUGGUCUAGUGGUAUGACGUGUCCUUCACACGGACAAGGGUAAGCUGCACCACACUAGCCCGUGUAGAUCCAAUCGCUCACAUACGUAUCGUAUUAGUCCCGGGUUCGAUCCCCGGCGGGGAUA